CCUACGGGAGACAGCAGUGAGGAAUAUUGGUCAAUGGGCGUACGCCUGAACCAGCCAAGUCGCGUGAGGGAAGACUGCCCUAUGGGUUGUAAACCUCUUUUGUCAGGGAGCAAGUGGCGCUACGUGUAGCGUUAUCGAGAGUACCUGAAGAAAAAGCAGCGGCUAACUCCGUGCCAGCAGCCGCGGUAAUACGGAGGAUGCGAGCGUUAUCCGGAUUUAUUGGGUUUAAAGGGUGCGUAGGCGGAAUGCCAAGUCAGCGGUAAAAUCGCGGGGCUCAACCUCGCUCCGCCGUUGAAACUGGCGUUCUUGCGUGGGCGAGACGUAUGCGGAAUGCGUGGUGUCGCGGU
rnacentral:rRNA from 1 species